rnacentral:rRNA from 1 species
UACGUAGGGUGCAAGCGUUGUCCGGAAUUAUUGGGCGUAAAGAGCUCGUAGGCGGUCUGUCGCGUCUGCUGUGAAAACUCGGGGCUUAACCCCCGGGCCUGCAGUGGGUACGGGCAGACUAGAGUGCGGUAGGGGAGACUGGAAUUCCUGGUGUAGCGGUGAAAUGCGCAGAUAUCAGGAGGAACACCGGUGGCGAAGGCGGGUCUCUGGGCCGUAACUGACGCUGAGGAGCGAAAGCGUGGGGAGCGAACAGG